rnacentral:tRNA from 3 species
GGCUGGGUAGCUCAGUUGGUAGAGCAGCGGACUGAAAAUCCGCGUGUCGGGGGUUCAAUUCCCUCCCCAGCCA